rnacentral:misc_RNA from 1 species
UACGUAGGGGGCAAGCGUUAAUCGGAAUUACUGGGCGUAAAGCGAGCGUAGGUGGUUUGUUAAGUUGGAUGUGAAAGCACCGGGCUCAACCUGGGAACUGCAUCCAAAACUGGCAAGCUAGAGUACGGUAGAGGGUGGUGGAAUUUCCUGUGUAGCGGUGAAAUGCGUAGAUAUAGGAAGGAACACCAGUGGCGAGGGCGACCACCUGGACUGAUACUGACACUUAGGUGCGAAAGCGUGUGGAGCAAACAGG